rnacentral:lncRNA from 1 species
GCGAUGGAAGGAAUAUUAAAGCAAGAGAGGCCAACUUGAAGAGCAUGCAUAUUGUGAUACCCUCAGUGGUGUCUUUUACAAUAUGUUCUGCUUCAACCAGUGAAUUUUGUUCAAUUGGCCAGGUAAGCAAAUAUGCUUAUUUAUGCUUAUUAAUGUACUUAUUUAUAUGUCUUUUUUUUUUUUAAGAAAA